GUUUCAUCCUACCAAGUUGCAUUCUUCAGCUCUCACAAAUGUGUCCUCACAAAAGUCCUUUGUUUCUAUGUGCGUUAGUAUUGCACACAUCCAUUGUGGUACCACAGACAGCAAACAAAAAAAGGACACACAUGUGCACAGGAACUGCAGCACAAGGUUAAUCAGAAUUACUAGGAAUUAAUGCACCACCAACGGCCUCACAAAGGAGAAGCCAGUGGAAGAAAAGCCCGGCAUCUCCACCACUUCCUCUGAAAUUCAGCGGGAAUCUCAGGCCUCACUCCGGGAAGCUCAGGGGAUAUGGACAGCACUAGCAGCUGAUCUCAGAUCAGCACAUUUACCCCGUAGCAGGCCGACUUCUGUGCUGGUUUCAGAGUUUGUUGCAGACGUGACGGCUGUCAGAAUUGUCAUCGGCGCAGCUCAGGAUUUUAAGUGAGGAGGUGGUGGGAAACUCACACGUCCCUGAGGAAUCUGUCAUGCUUAGCGACAAUUUCAGAAAUAGCAGUAAUAUACCGCCUGACUAAAGCGCCAAAGGGGCAGAUGGCAGUUUUUCAUGAAUCACCUUUCUUUCAUGUUUGUGACCAGACAGAUCUGCUGCAUUUAAAAAAAAACAAAACAAAAAAAAACAAACGCAAAAUGGUACAAAUUGAUCCAUUGUGAUUCUAAUGAGUUACAAAGUAUUAUAUUGUGUUCCUUCCAUCAAGGUAUCGAGCAAAGCAAUAAUUGGAAAUUAAAAAGAGAAUCAGAAAAUGUCUGGGGCAAUUUAUCCACAGAAAUGAUCAUACUGUGCAGACUUCUAGGGUUUUUAGAAAAGACAAAAAACAGGUUAAUUGUGACAACUUUGUCUUAAAGUGUUUUAAAGUACAGAUUAUGCUGAAAUAUCAGUCACUUUACUAUUUCCAUUGUUAC